GUGGCUUCUGAUGGAUCGCUUUUUACAUGGGGAGCUAACGAAUUUGGUCAGCUGGGUGACGGAACUGAAAAUGCUAGGAAGCACCCCAAGAAAGUGAAACAAUUGCAAUCUGAAUUUGUUAUUAGUGUUUCAUGUGGAGCACAUUGUACUGUUGCCAUUGCAGAACCACGUGAAAACGAUGGUAGCAUGUCAGCUCGGAGACUUUGGGUUUGGGGACAGAACCAGG
rnacentral:misc_RNA from 1 species